rnacentral:rRNA from 1 species
ACGAACGCUGGCGGCGCGCCUAACACAUGCAAGUCGAACGGAGCUUAAAGAGCUUGCUUUUUAAGCUUAGUGGCGAACGGGUGAGUAACGCGUGAGUAACCUGCCCUAGAGUGGGGGACAACAGUUGGAAACGACUGCUAAUACCGCAUAAGCCCACGGUACCGCAUGGUACUGAGGGAAAAGGAUUUAUUCGCUUUAGGAUGGACUCGCGUCCAAUUAGCUAGUUGGUGAGGUAACGGCCCACCAAGGCGACGAUUGGUAGCCGGACUGAGAGGUUGAACGGCCACAUUGGGACUGAGACACGGCCCAGACUCCUACGGGAGGCAGCAGUGGGGGAUAUUGCACAAUGGGGGAAACCCUGAUGCAGCGACGCCGCGUGGAGGAAGAAGGUUUUCGGAUUGUAAACUCCUGUCGUUAGGGACGAUAAUGACGGUACCUAACAAGAAAGCACCGGCUAACUACGUGCCAGCAGCCGCGGUAAAACGUAGGGUGCAAGCGUUGUCCGGAAUUACUGGGUGUAAAGGGAGCGCAGGCGGGAAGACAAGUUGGAAGUGAAAACCAUGGGCUCAACCCAUGAAUUGCUUUCAAAACUGUUUUUCUUGAGUAGUGCAGAGGUAGAUGGAAUUCCCGGUGUAGCGGUGGAAUGCGUAGAUAUCGGGAGGAACACCAGUGGCGAAGGCGGUCUACUGGGCACCAACUGACGCUGAGGCUCGAAAGCAUGGGUAGCAAACAGGAUUAGAUACCCUGGUAGUCCAUGCCGUAAACGAUGAUUACUAGGUGUUGGGGGAUUGACCCCCUCAGUGCCGCAGUUAACACAAUAAGUAAUCCACCUGGGGAGUACGACCGCAAGGUUGAAACUCAAAGGAAUUGACGGGGGCCCGCACAAGCAGUGGAGUAUGUGGUUUAAUUCGAAGCAACGCGAAGAACCUUACCAGGGCUUGACAUAUGCAGGAAUAUGUUAGAGAUAGCAUAGCUCUUCGGAGUCUGCAUACAGGUGGUGCAUGGUUGUCGUCAGCUCGUGUCGUGAGAUGUUGGGUUAAGUCCCGCAACGAGCGCAACCCCUGUGAUUAGUUGCCAACACGUAAAGGUGGGAACUCUAAUCAGACUGCCGGUGAUAAAUCGGAGGAAGGUGGGGACGACGUCAAAUCAUCAUGCCCUUUAUGACCUGGGCUACACACGUACUACAAUGGCCGCUACAGAGGGAAGCUAAGUAGUGAUAUGGAGCAAAACCCUAAAAACGGUCUCAGUUCGGAUUGAAGGCUGAAAUUCGCCUUCAUGAAGCUGGAAUUGCUAGUAAUGGCAGGUCAGCAUACUGCCGUGAAUACGUUCCCGGGCCUUGUACACACCGCCCGUCACACCAUGAGAGUUGGGGAUACCCGAAGCCUGUGAGCUAACUUAUAGAGGCAGCAGUCGAAGGUAGAAUCAAUGAUUGGGGUG